UCUUCCCCCGCCUUCUCUCCCGGGCGGCGCGGCCGCGAGCUCCAGAGCCCGUGUCUUCUUAACUUCGUUGCUGAAAUUUGGUUUCUGCCCAUUGAGAGCCAUGCUUCGAGUGAUUGUUGAAUCUGCCAGCAAUAUCCCUAAAACGAAAUUUGGGAAACCGGAUCCUAUUGUUUCUGUUAUUUUUAAGGAUGAGAAAAAGAAAACAAAGAAAGUCGAUAAUGAACUCAACCCAGUGUGGAAUGAGAUUUUGGAGUUCGACCUGAGGGGUAUACCACUGGACUUCUCAUCGUCCCUUGGGAUUGUUGUGAAAGAUUUUGAGACAAUUGGACAAAAUAAGUUAAUUGGCACGGCCACCGUAGCCCUGAAAGACCUGAUUGGCGACCAGAGCCGAUCGCUGCCCUACAAACUGAUCUCCCUGCUAAACGAAAGGGGGCAAGAGACUGGGGCCACCAUUGACCUGGUGAUCGGCUAUGAUCCACCUUCAGCUCCACAUCCGGAUGACCCCAGUGGGACCAGCGUGCCAGGCUUGGGAGGAGAAGAAGAGGAUGGUGGCGGUGAUGAGGACGGGUUGGACAGUACGGUCAGGGGCCCAGGGCCCAGGGGGCCGGGACGGAUGGUGUCGGAAGCUCACCUUGCCCGGAGGCUCACGAAAGGGAAGAACAGCCGGUGGAUGCUGUCCAACAAGCCACAGGACUUCCAGAUCCGUGUCUGGGUGAUCGAGGGCCGGCAGUUAAGUGGCAACAACAUCAAGCCUGUGGUCAAAGUCCACAUCUGUGGCCAGACCCACCGAACAAGAAUCAAGAGAGGGAACAAUCCGUUUUUUGAUGAGUUAUUUUUCUACAAUGUCCACCUGACUCCUUCUGAAUUGAUGGAUGAGAUCAUCAGCAUUCGGGUUUAUAAUUCCCAUUCUCUGCGGGCAGAUUGUCUGAUGGGGGAAUUUAAGAUUGAUGUCGGAUUCAUUUAUGAUGAACCUGGUCAUGCUGUCAUGAGAAAAUGGCUUCUCCUCAGUGACCCUGAAGAUACCAGCUCGGGUGCUAAAGGCUACAUGAAAGUCAGCAUGUUGGUCCUGGGAACCGGAGAUGAGCCUCCUCCUGAGAUACAAGAUCGUGGUAAUGACAGUGAUGACGUGGAGAGUAACUUGUUACUCCCUGCUGGCAUCGCCCUCCGAUGGGUGACCUUCCUGCUGAAGAUCUACAGAGCAGAGGACAUCCCCCAGAUGGAUGACGCCUUCUCACAGACAGUAAAGGAAAUAUUUGGAGGCAGUGCAGAUAAGAAAAACCUAGUGGAUCCUUUUGUAGAAGUUUCUUUUGCUGGAAAAAAGGUUUGCACAAAUAUAAUUGAGAAAAAUGCAAACCCUGAGUGGAAUCAAGUCGUCAAUCUUCAGAUCAAGUUUCCUUCAGUGUGUGAAAAAAUAAAACUAACAAUAUAUGACUGGGACCGUAUUACGAAAAAUGAUGUCAUUGGGACAACAUAUCUGCACCUCUCUAAAAUUGCUGCCUCUGGUGGGGAAGUGGAAGAUUUCUCAUCUUCGGGAUCUGGGGCUGCAUCAUAUACAGCAAAUACAGGAGAAACAGAGGUGGGCUUUGUUCCAACGUUUGGACCUUGUUAUCUGAACCUUUAUGGAAGCCCCAGAGAGUACACGGGAUUCCCAGAUCCCUAUGAUGAGCUAAAUACUGGAAAGGGGGAAGGAGUAGCCUACCGAGGCAGAAUCUUGGUUGAAUUAAGCACUUUACUUGAAAAGACACCCCCAGAUAAAAAGCUUGAGCCCAUUUCAAAUGAUGACCUGCUGGUUGUUGAGAAAUAUCAGCGAAGGCGGAAGUACAGCCUGUCUGCUGUGUUCCAUUCGGCCACCAUGUUGCAAGACGUUGGCGAGGCCAUUCAGUUUGAAGUCAGCAUUGGGAACUAUGGCAACAAGUUUGACACGACCUGUAAGCCUUUGGCGUCAAGCACUCAAUACAGCCGUGCCGUGUUUGAUGGGAACUACUAUUAUUACUUGCCUUGGGCCCACACAAAGCCAGUUGUCACACUGACUUCAUACUGGGAGGAUAUUAGUCAUCGCCUGGAUGCAGUGAACAUGCUACUAGUCAUGGCAGAACGGCUGCAAUCAAAAAUAGAGGCUCUAAAAUCAGGGAUACAAGGUAAAAUUCCCGCAAACCAGUUGGCAGAAAUGUGGUUGAAGCUGAUCGAUGAAGUAAUAGAAGACACAAGAUACACGUUGCCUCUCAUGGAAGGAAAACCUAAUGUCACAGUUCUUGAUAAUCACAUCCAAAAGCUGCGAUCCAGAGCUCUCUCCCAGAUACACGAGGCGGCUGUGAGGAUGAGGUCUGAGGCCACAGAGGUGAAGCCCACAUUGGCAGAAAUCGAGGACUGGCUCGAUAAAUUAAUGCAACUGACUGAAGAGCCUCAGAACAGCAUGCCUGACAUCAUCAUCUGGAUGAUCCGGGGAGAGAAAAGACUGGCCUACGCACGCAUUCCCGCGCAUCAGGUGUUAUACUCCACCAGUGGUGACAAUGCAUCUGGGAAAUACUGUGGGAAAACCCAAACCAUCUUUCUGAAGUACCCACAGGAAAAAAACAAUGGACCAAAGGUGCCUGUGGAGUUGCGUGUGAACAUCUGGCUGGGCUUAAGUGCUGUUGAGAAGAAGUUCAAUAGCUUCGCAGAAGGAACAUUCACCGUCUUUGCUGAAAUGUAUGAAAAUCAAGCUCUUAUGUUUGGAAAAUGGGGCACUUCUGGAUUAGUGGGUCGUCAUAAAUUUUCUGAUGUCACGGGAAAAAUAAAACUCAAGAGGGAAUUCUUUUUGCCUCCAAAAGGCUGGGAAUGGGAAGGAGACUGGAUAGUUGAUCCUGAAAAAAGCUUGCUGACCGAGGCGGAUGCAGGUCACACAGAGUUCACAGAUGAAUUGUAUCAGAACGAGAGUCGCUACCCCCGGGGCGAGUGGAAGCCAGCAGAGGACACCUACACAGAUGCGAACGGUGAUAAAACAGCAUCACCCAGCGAGCUCACUUGCCCUCCAGGUUGGGAAUGGGAAGAUGAUGCAUGGGUCUAUGACAUUAAUCGUGCAGUGGAUGAGAGAGGCUGGGAGUAUGGAAUUAUCAUUCCUCCUGAUAAUAAGCCCAAAUCCUGGGUUGCAGCAGAAAAAAUGUAUCAUACUCAUAGACGCCGAAGGCUGGUCCGAAAACGCAAGAGAGAUUUAACACAAACCACUUCAAGUACUGCAAAGGCCAUGGAAGAAUAUAAAGACCAGGAGGGCUGGGAAUACGCUUCUUUAAUUGGCUGGAAAUUUCACUGGAAACAGCGUAGUUCAGAUACCUUUCGCCGCAGAUGCUGGAGGAGAAAAAUGGCUCCUUCGGAGACGCAUGGCGCAGCUGCCAUCUUUAAACUUGAAGGUGCCCUUGGUGCAGAUACUACCGAGGAUGGAGAUGAAAAGAGUGUAGAAAAACAGAAACACAGCGCCACUGCUGUGUUUGGAGCAAACACUCCCAUUGUUUCCUGUAAUUUUGACAGAGUCUACAUUUACCAUCUGCGUUGCUAUAUCUAUCAAGCCAGAAACCUCAUGGCUCUAGACAAGGAUAGCUUUUCAGAUCCAUAUGCUCAUGUCUCCUUCCUUCAUCGAAGUAAAACCACCGAGAUCAUCCACUCAACCCUGAAUCCUACCUGGGACCAAACGAUUAUAUUUGAUGAAAUUGAAAUCUAUGGGGAACCCCAAACAGUCCUACAGAACCCACCCAAGGUUGUCAUUGAACUUUUUGACAAUGACCAAGUGGGCAAAGAUGAGUUUUUAGGACGAAGCAUGUGCUCUCCUCUGGUGAAACUAAACUCAGAAAUGGACAUCACACCCAAACUUCUCUGGUACCCAGUAAUGAAUGGAGACAAAACCUGUGGGGAUGUCCUUGUCACUGCAGAGCUGAUCCUGAGGCACAAGGAUGGCUCCAACCUUCCCAUUCUUCCCUCACAAAGGGCACCAAGUCUGUACAUGGUCCCCCAGGGCAUCAGGCCUGUGGUUCAGCUCACUGCUGUUGAGAUUCUAGCUUGGGGCUUAAGAAAUAUGAAAAACUACCAGAUGGCUUCUGUCACCUCCCCCAGUCUCAUUGUGGAGUGCGGAGGGGAAAGGGUAGAAUCAGUGGUGAUCAAAAACCUGAAGAAGACGCCCAACUUCCCAAGUUCUGUUCUCUUCAUGAAAGUGUUCUUGCCUAAGGAGGAACUGUACAUGCCUCCGCUGGUGAUCAAGGUCAUCGACCACCGGCAGUUUGGGCGCAAGCCCGUUGUGGGCCAGUGCACCAUUGACCGCCUGGACCGCUUUCGCUGCGACCCUUAUGCAGGAAAGGAGGACAUCGUGCCACAGCUAAAAGCCUCCUUUUUGUCUACCCCACCCUGCCGGGACGUUGUUAUUGAAAUAGAAGACACCAAACCAUUACUGGCAUCAAAGUGCUUAAGCAGUAUGUCAACAGCACUCAGCAAAAUGGCUUCUCCAACAACAGUGCAUGUAUGUAUGAUAAGAAAAUGCAUGAUGCUGCCUGGGGCUGCGGGGACCUCGGUCUAAAGACUUGAACUCUCCUUUCACAUUCUUUCUAGAUUUUGGAGUGAAAGACGAUCUUUAAACAAAUGUGAUUAUUUUAAGCUUCAGGGGAGAAUCUUCUGUGCCAUUUGGAUAUAAUGAAGCAAGUUACUCUAGCUGCUUCAGCUACUUUGCCACGUGAACUAAUGAGCAAGCGGACAUGAAUAAAUUCUCCCAUAUUAAUCCUAGAUCUUAACAUCAGCCAUCUGUUCUGAAUAACGCUUUUUAAAUCAUGAACUAUUCAUUUCUUUGAAAUGAUUUCCAAUAGCUGAGGGUAGAUGUGAAUAAACAGACUCUAAAACUAUGAAUUCAGGAACGAUUCAGAAUGUGAAAACACUUUUGGCAUAAAGUCCCUCUCUCCAAAAUCUCAAUUCAGCUGUGAUGAUUUAACUUUUAAUCUCGCUUUGACAUGAAUCUAAUAGAAAGAAUUGUUAUAUCUAUCUGUCUCGCUGCCUCUCUUGGCAUUUCCGUGUGCUGAACAAAAGUCGAUGUGGAAAAUGCCGAGGGGCACUUGCAGAAGAAGCCCCGUGGCCGCCCAGCACUCCCUGCAGGAAGUGCCUGUAGUGACGAGUCGCUGUCCCCUCACAGUGGAAAUGAACUUGAAGUUAGGAGGUAGCAAUUCUUCAGACUGCCCCUAAGGGUGAGCUUGGCUUAUGUUCCAGCAGGUACCAAGAGAAAAGUCAAGCCCCAGCAUCCUAGCUGUCCAUUCUCUCAUCUCCUGGUGGAUUCUCCACGCAGAAACGCAAAUGGGAGGAUUUGGCCAAUGAGAGACUUGACAUCCAUUUAUGGGUGGAUAUGUAUAUAGGUGCUUUAUCGUCGGCAUGGGGAAAAAUCAAGAAAAGAUACUUACAUGAUGGUGCUGCAGUCAUGUUGGACAUAAACAUCUUGGGACAGGAGUUUUUGAAGGAAUGAGAAUUAGGCCAAGUUGGGGAUAUACUUUAGAAGCUAAAUGGAAUAAGAGGUUUGGGGCAGGAAGAUGAGUAACUGUAUUCAUCCCCACCUCCACCCCACCUUCUCUGUGAUCACUAUGCUGGUGGACAGAUUGUCCAACUCUAUUAAGACAUGGGACAUGGGUGGCUACCUCCAAGCCUUUUAUUUUAAUACUGUUUGUAACUCUUUUGCACAUUUCAGAGAAGAAGCCAAUAAGGUGUGUUCAAUUAUGAGAUCAUCUUGAAUAAAUAAUCCAUCAAAAUGUUGAUAACAUAAGGCAUGGAUGAACAGUAACAUCUCCUUUUCUCUUUCUCAUUGAAUCUAAUGCUCAUGGGGUCUCCAUCUCUGUGUGACCUGUACGUGGUUCGUCCUCUUCCUGCCCAUAUAUAUGCGAUGGGCAGCUAACAGAAAAGGAGGAAGAAAUUAUUGACUGGUGGAGUAAAUAUUAUGCUUCCACAGGGGAACAUGAAAAAUGUGGACAAUAUAUUCAGAAAGGCUAUCCCAAACUCCAG